UCUGCUUGACUAGCUGAGAGGAGGUGCAUGGCCGUCGUCAGUUCGUACUGUGAAGCAUCCUGUUAAGUCAGGCAACGAGCGAGACCCACGCCAACAGUUGCCAGCAUGUCCUCCGGGAUGAUGGGGACACUGUUGGGACCGCCUCUGCUAAAGAGGAGGAAGGAAUGGGCAACGGUAGGUCAGCAUGCCCCGAAUUAUCCGGGCUACACGCGGGCUACAAUGGUCAGGACAAUGGGUAUCGACACCGAGAGGUGGAGGCAAUCUCCUAAACCUGUCCUUAGUUCGGAUUGUGGGCUGCAACUCGCCCACAUGAAGCUGGAAUCCGUAGUAAUCGCGUUUCAAAUAGCGCGGUGAAUAUGUCCCUGCUCCUU
rnacentral:rRNA from 1 species